AUGGACUCACGCGUCGUUACGUUUGCUUCGCCAAAAAACGAAUGAAAUCAGUGAAUGGCCUUUUUUUCCCAAUAAAAAUCCGAACCGUGGUGCCAAUAUAGACUUCUUUGACCGCGAGGAGCAGAAAACUCGUCAAGGCAACAUCAUGACCCAUCGAUCAGUUGUUUACUUCGAACAAUUUCAGACAUAUAAGGAACUGUAUGCAAGUGGCAUCCGUUGGAAACCAUCUCUUCGGACACCUCCGCCUCCUAGAAUGGGCAAUCCGCCUAUAGGGGUACCCGCCAGCAGACCUCCCAGAUUGGGCAAUCUUCCUGUGGUAGGCCUACCACCUGACAAUAGUCCUCCUACAAUUGCUGCAGUUCUCCAAAGGUUCUUUAUAAAUCGGGCAGAUGACUUCUCAUUUAUAACUUACAGGACCGUACACAGUUUCUAUUACUACUACUCUUGAAUCCAUAUCGGAUAAAAAUAUUUCAAUCAAAAUCAAACUGUCUUGCAAACUUGUGCACCUGCUGCGAAAUAUUAGGAAUCUCCAAGUUCAUCUGGGUCUGUGACAAGUGUGUGUAGAUAACACACACAGAAAAUGCAUUUUAACAGCCAGCUAGAAGGAGAUUGGUUUGCAAAGACUGUCUUGUUAAAAGUUCAAUUUCUAAGAUUUGGUCAACAAGUUUAUGCUAGACUUCCUGAAUCAACUUAUUAUUUCCUGUGGAACAAUCAGCCAACACGUAUCCGGAAGCAGUAGUUUAAUAGGGUCCUCCAAUAAAAGCUGGUAUCGAAUUCAUGCAUUCGAGUGUCAACUCCUCUUCCCAGCGCACAUGGAUUGACUGAUGGGCUGAAUUUGACAUGUUGACAUUCAGAUAAGACACAAGGCAUAGUUCCUUUAAUCCUAUUUUUUUCUCAGCUCUCCUUUUCGUACAUGGUGAAUUAUUAUUAAAAAACCAGUUAAACCACAUGGUUGGAACUAUAUAUCAGUCUUGCUAACUGUAGAAUCAAUUAAGACAAAUUUUAUAGUGCUGAAGCAUUUUUGCAUUUUUGUUUUUGUUAUAAGGUGACAGCAUAACAUUGUCCUAUGUAUGGGGGUUUGAAGUUAGCUGGAUUGCUUGGUAGAUGUAUUUCUUAGAAUAUGUGACGUGUUCAUUCCAGUUGAAUCGGGUUGACAAUGAUGACUCUUGAAGUUUAUAAAGAUUGGGAAACCAUGCUGUGCUCCAAUGACAAUAGAACCCUAAUACUU